UACGUAGGGUGCGAGCGUUUGUCCGGAAUUACUGGGCGUAAAGAGCUCGUAGGCGGUUUGUCGCGUCUGCCGUGAAAGUCCGGGGCUCAACUCCGGAUCUGCGGUGGGUACGGGCAGACUAGAGUGAUGUAGGGGAGACUGGAAUUCCUGGUGUAGCGGUGAAAUGCGCAGAUAUCAGGAGGAACACCGAUGGCGAAGGCAGGUCUCUGGGCAUUAACUGAC
rnacentral:rRNA from 1 species